GCCGCCAUAGCUCAGUUGGUAGAGCGACGCUUUCGUAAAGCGUAGGUCCAGGGUUCGAGUCCCCGUGGCGGCU
rnacentral:tRNA from 1 species